rnacentral:misc_RNA from 1 species
CACGUAGGGGGCGAACGUUGUCCGGAUUUAUUGGGCGUAAAGGGCUCGUAGGCGGUUCAGCAAGCCGACCGUGAAAGUCUGGGGCUCAACCCCAGGAAGCCGGUCGGAACUGUUGUGACUAGGGUCCGGUAGAGGUGACUGGAAUUCUCGGUGUAGCGGUGAAAUGCGCAGAUAUCGAGAGGAACACCCGUAGCGAAGGCGGGUCACUGGGCCGGUACCGACGCUGAGGAGCGAAAGCGUGGGGAGCAAACAGG